GACGAACGCUGGCGGCGUGCCUAAUACAUGCAAGUAGGACGCAGUUGCGAACGGGUGAGUAACGCGUAGGUAACUACCUAUUAGAGGGGGAUAACUAUUGGAAACGAUAACGAAUACCGCAUACUAGUAGAUGGACCUUCGUUGUAUUAGCUAGUAGGUGGGGAAAUGGCCUACCGAGGCAACGAUACAUCACCGACGUGAGAGGGUUAUCGGCCACACUGGGACUGAGACACGGCCCAGACUCCGACGGGAUGCAGCAGUAGGGAAUCUUCGGCAAUGGGGGGAACCCUGACCGAGCAACGCCGCGUGAGUGAAGAAGGUUUUCGGAUCGUAAAGCUCUGUUGUUAAGGAAGCGGUACUUAACCAGAAAGGGACGGCUAACUACGUGCCAGCAGCCGCGGUAAUUC
rnacentral:rRNA from 1 species